rnacentral:rRNA from 1 species
UACAGAGGUCUCAAGCGUUGUUCGGAUUCACUGGGCGUAAAGGGUGCGUAGGCGGCGCGGUAAGUCGGGUGUGAAAUCUCGGAGCUUAACUCCGAAACUGCAUUCGAUACUGCCGUGCUUGAGGACUGGAGAGGAGACUGGAAUUUACGGUGUAGCGGUGAAAUGCGUAGAUAUCGUAAGGAAGACCAGUGGCGAAGGCGGGUCUCUGGACAGUUCCUGACGCUGAGGCACGAAGGCCAGGGGAGCAAACGGG